GGCCGCACCAAGGUGUGCUGGGGCUUACUAGCCUCCUCCCCACCUCGGUACCCGCGAGGCGCCCGGGAAGGGCCACGGCCCCAAAGCGCCCUAACCAAACAGCCAGGGACCGUGGGGCUGAAGCAAAUCGGUGUGGUUUUCUAUUCAUGUCUUGCCACCAUGGAAAUGGAUUACCACGACCAUUUAAAUGGUCUCCUGGGCAUUUAAUUCUGGUUGCAGCCCAACAGAAUCUGACCAGCCUCUGGUGAAGCUCCAAUUUCUUAUUGGCACUGGCUUCAAGAUGGAGCAGGUGCUCAAGUUCCCCUCCUGACAGCGGCCACCUGGCUAAACUUAAAGGCCUGUUCUUUUCCCAAACCCUGGAAAGGAACUUACAGGAAAGAAGAUGUCUACAUAGUACUUCAAAACAGAAUGAGAUAUCUGUUAAGAGCAGUAACUUAUAAUCUGCUCUUAAAGAUAGGAGAUAGGCACUUUAGGAAAGGAAACUGAGGAAAAAAUCUGAAGUUUUGCAUAGCAAACAAUAUUGAAUAUGAAAAGAUUAUUUUACACAACACAAAAAUAUCUCAAAUAAUAUCAACAAGAAGAUAGGAGAUGGCCUCCCACCUUCUCUAAUGUAUAAUAUAAUGCUUUUAUGAUAAAGUUGGCUGUCCUAGUAUAUGCCCUGCAGUAGAAAACACUACAAAGAACUCCAGUUGGAAGAAACUUGGGCCACAAGGAUAAUCACCAUAAAGGUCAAAGAUAAUAGACUUACAGGAACUAUGGACCAAAAGAAAUGAGAGAAAGAUCACCCUUACACAUUAACAGCAUUUUAAAAUUCUUACAGGGGUGAGACAGGGAGAGCUAAUAUAGUUGAAAUCAUCAUGUGCAUCUAAUGUCUGGACCAAAUGACAGCAACAAUGAACACCACCUCCCACCUAGUGACUCGCUACUUUUCCUCAUCACAUUUAAUGUAUUUGGUUUAUCACAGCUUGGAUGCUUUCUCUGUAAAUGGUAGUAACUGGUAGAAUCAUCUCUGCACAUCAAACAUGAAUUAUUCCUUCCAGCUCUUCCAUAGCCUUGGCAUUAUGGAUCCUGGCUUCUGGUCGCUUUUGAGUUCUACGGAAUGCUCAUAUUUGUCAUGAUAAGUACGCAGCAAUAAUCACUGUGAUCACUGCACCUUCCUCUUAAAAGUUCAACUUACAGUGAACUAAGUGUAAUACAAUCUUCACUGAUCUCUUAGCAACACAAAUGCAGCCUUGUUGAGGCAUGUGAAAAAGGAGGAAAGUGAAGAGAUAUGGAAGAAAAGCAUCUAACAGGGAAUGGUUGAGUCCUAUAUUCUCAUACUAAUGACCUUUGACUGUGCCCUCCCGAAAAACUGCUAUUUUUGGAUGUAACAUUUUUCUAAAGAUACUUGAAAUAAUACUGUGACUACAUAACAAAACAAACACAAAACCACCCAUUAUAUGGUGGUUGCAGGUAAAUGACAAUUCCUGGAAUAACAUUAUUAAGUGUUCUCCAUUCUCUAGAAGACAGGAUAAAUUGUACAAUUAGCAAUUUGAUCUUUAAAAACAAAUGAGCUAUCUCCAUAAAUAAAAUCUGCCUCCUGGGCUGGGAAUUUAGCUCAGUGGUUCCGCCCCCUGCCUCGCAAGCACAAGGUCCUGAGUUCAAUCUCCGGUACCAAAAAAUAAAAUAAAAUAAAAUGUGCCUCCAAAGCUUGUACAAGUAUCUCUAAUUUCUCACUUGUACUCCAUUCUUAGCAGUAUAUCCAUUACUACAAGCCUGUUUCCUGCUGGGAAACAUCAGUAAGAUGGCAGUUUUCCCUAAGAAAGACACUAGCCCCAUUCACACUUUUAGAGCCUGAAAUAAUGUGAAGUAUUUCCAAAGAGAAAAUUGUUUGAAAGGGGGAAUGAUAAUGAUCUGUAUCUAUCAAAAUCUCAACUCAGUUCCUGUGCAAAACAUUCUGGCUUUGCUUGACAGACAACCUUCACAUGACCUAUAUCAAAACACACACUAAAUAAUGAAAGACAUCUCAGUCUUGCCUAAUCAGCAAAUCCCCAGGAGUACAAACCUCGGGUCAACGGCUGAAUUCCUGAUAUACAUCAUUUUAUAUGUGAAGUUUUAAAAAAAUUUUUUUUCUGUAUAUCCUUUUAUUGGUACAUUUUAGGUAGACAAUAUAAUGACAUUCAUCAUUGGAAAUUUGCACCUUUACAUACUCUCUUGGUUCUUAUUUUUUCCCCCUUCCUCUGCCCUCCCUGCAACCCCUCCUUCCCUCCCUAUUUACAAAGACUUGGUUUCCUU
rnacentral:lncRNA from 1 species